rnacentral:rRNA from 1 species
UACGUAGGGUGCAAGCGUUAAUCGGAAUUACUGGGCGUAAAGCGUGCGCAGGCGGUUGGGCAAGACCGAUGUGAAAUCCCCGGGCUCAACCUGGGAAUGGCAUUGGUGACUGCACGGCUAGAGUGUGUCAGAGGGGGGUAGAAUUCCACGUGUAGCAGUGAAAUGCGUAGAGAUCGGGAGGAACACCUGUGGCGAAGGCGGCCGACUGGGCCGACCCUGACGCUGAGGCGCGAAGGCGUGGGGAGCGAACGGG